GAUGAACGCUGGCGGCGUGCUUAACACAUGCAAGUCGAACGGUGAAGGCGGAGCUUGCUCUGCUGGAUCAGUGGCGAACGGGUGAGUAACACGUGAGCAAUCUGCCCCUGACUCUGGGAUAAGCGCUGGAAACGGCGUCUAAUACUGGAUACGAGCUGCGAAGGCAUCUUCAGCAGCUGGAAAGAAUUUCGGUCAGGGAUGAGCUCGCGGCCUAUCAGCUUGUUGGUGAUGUAAUGGCUCACCAAGGCGUCGACGGGUAGCCGGCCUGAGAGGGUGACCGGCCACACUGGGACUGAGACACGGCCCAGACUCCUACGGGAGGCAGCAGUGGGGAAUAUUGCACAAUGGGCGAAAGCCUGAUGCAGCAACGCCGCGUGAGGGACGACGGCCUUCGGGUUGUAAACCUCUUUUAGCAGGGAAGAAGCGAAAGUGACGGUACCUGCAGAAAAAGCGCCGGCUAACUACGUG
rnacentral:rRNA from 1 species